UAGGAUGAGGUGUUUAGGUAGCACGAAGAAUUUUGAAUUCUUAAGUGUAGGUUCAAUUCCUAUUGUCCUAG
rnacentral:tRNA from 1 species